GAUGAACGCUGGCGGCGUGCCUAAUACAUGCAAGUCGAGCGAACAGACGAGGAGCUUGCUCCUCUGACGUUAGCGGCGGACGGGUGAGUAACACGUGGAUAACCUACCUAUAAGACUGGGAUAACUUCGGGAAACCGGAGCUAAUACCGGAUAAUAUAUUGAACCGCAUGGUUCAAUAGUGAAAGACGGUUUUGCUGUCACUUAUAGAUGGAUCCGCGCCGCAUUAGCUAGUUGGUAAGGUAACGGCUUACCAAGGCAACGAUGCGUAGCCGACCUGAGAGGGUGAUCGGCCACACUGGAGCUGAGACACGGUCCAGACUCCUACGGGAGGCAGCAGUAGGGAAUCUUCCGCAAUGGGCGAAAGCCUGACGGAGCAACGCCGCGUGAGUGAUGAAGGUCUUCGGAUCGUAAAACUCUGUUAUUAGGGAAGAACAAAUGUGUAAGUAACUAUGCACGUCUUGACGGUACCUAAUCAGAAAGCCACGGCUAACUACGU
rnacentral:rRNA from 1 species